rnacentral:lncRNA from 1 species
UUAAUAACUCGCAGCAACGCACCAGUAUUUCUUCAGCCCGGAUGCACGUACGUACGAAAGGGACCGACGGGAGGGAGGAGGGCAACUAAUUACCAACAAAAACACAGGUCAAUCGCACAUGUCGCAGCGACCGAUCUUGUCGGUCGGCGUCGAUGUGACAAGAUCCAGCCGCGUCGGCGUCGUCGUCGCCUGGAAAAACGACUGCGACGCAUGCAUCAUUUCAUGCAAUCGAUCAGAUCGUGCCCGGGGCGGCCAUCCACGAUGGACGUGAAACACACGCGUUGUGUAGCUGGACGGCUUCGCCGGGUGAUCGGUCUGUCUGAUUGAUGACCGGGACGCUGAGGAAAAGAUAGAGAUAUCCCUUGCUUUGCUUUUCAUUUUCUCAUUGCAGCGGCCAUGCAACAUGCUCUGUCAGAUCACUGACCAGCUGAUGGUGGCGUGGAGUGCCGGUAUGUGUCUCUGAGAAGGCAGCGAGCGAGCGGCGCGACGCGAUGCUGCGGGUUGUGCUGGAAACGUGGUCCACGUGUGUCACACCAUGCCGCCGGCGCCGACCAUCUUUUUUGAGCGAUCUUGCAUUGUUUUGUUAUACCACUCUUGAUAGAGAUUGUAGGUAGUACAGUCUUUUUUUACUAGUCCUUUUUUUGCAUUUUUCAGUGCAGUACAAUCAAAAUUGCUUGCAUACACGAAUAAAAUGUACGUUGUCGAAAAAUCUGAAAUAAAUAUCGGAAAAUACGAGCACAAGUAUCAAGUCUGACACUUAAGCUCACAUGAACAGGAGAUACGACUAUCCUGGUAAACUUCUAACCGUAUGUCG